rnacentral:rRNA from 1 species
ACGCAUGCAAGUCGAACGAACCUUCGGGUUAGUGGCGGACGGGUGAGUAACGCGUGGGAAUCUGCCCUCAGGAGGGGGAUAACGGUUGGAAACGACCGCUAAUACCCCAUAUGCCGAUAGGUGAAAUGAAUUUCGCCUGAGGAUGAGCCCGCGUCUGAUUAGCUAGUUGGUAAGGUAAAGGCUUACCAAGGCUUCGAUCAGUAGCUGGCCUGAGAGGAUGAUCAGCCACACUGGGACUGAGACACGGCCCAGACUCCUACGGGAGGCAGCAGUGGGGAAUUUUCCGCAAUGGGCGAAAGCCUGACGGAGCAACGCCGCGUGAGGGACGAAGGCCUCUGGGCUGUAAACCUCUUUUCUCAAGGAAGAAGAUAUGACGGUACUUGAGGAAUAAGCCACGGCUAAUUCCGUGCCAGCAGCCGCGGUAAUACGGGAGUGGCAAGCGUUAUCCGGAAUUAUUGGGCGUAAAGCGUCCGCAGGCGGCCUUUCAAGUCUGCUGUUAAAGCGUGGAGCUUAACUCCAUCAUGGCAGUGGAAACUGAUAGGCUUGAGUAUGGUAGGGGCAGAGGGAAUUCCCGGUGUAGCGGUGAAAUGCGUA